CUGGGCGUAAGCGCGUGUAGGCGGUUAAUUAAGUCAGAUGUGAAACCUUAAGGCUCAACCUUAAGCAUGCAUCUGAUACUGGUUGACUUGAGGACAGGAGAGGGAAGUGGAAUUCCUAGUGUAGCGGUGAAAUGCGUAGAUAUUAGGAGGAACACCAGUGGCGAAGGCGACUUCCUGGCCUGUAACUGACGCUGAGACGCGAAAGCGUGGGGAGCGAACAGGAUUAGAUACCCUGGUAGUCCACGCCGUAAACGAUGGGUACUAGGUGUUGGAGGUAUCGACCCCUUCAGUGCCGCAGUUAACGCAAUAAGUACCCCGCCUGGGGAGUACGGUCGCAAGACUGAAACUCAAAGGAAUUGACGGGGGCCCGCACAAGCGGCGGAGCAUGUGGUUUAAUUCGAAGCAACGCGAAGAACCUUACCAGGACUUGACAUCCCUCUGACAGGUAUGGAGAUAUACCCUCUCUUCGGAGCAGAGGAGACAGGUGGUGCAUGGUUGUCGUCAGCUCGUGUCGUGAGAUGUUGGGUUAAGUCCCGCAACGAGCGCAACCCCUAUCUUUAGUUGCCAGCGAUUAGGUCGGGCACUCUAGAGAGACUGCCGGUGACAAACCGGAGGAAGGUGGGGAUGA
rnacentral:rRNA from 1 species